rnacentral:lncRNA from 1 species
UUUGAAAUUUUAACCAAAUUAUUAAAAUAUCAAAAUUCUAAAUAUCGUUUAUAAAUUUGAUAGUUUAGGAAUUUGAUCAAACUUUUAAAAUACUAAACCUUACGUGCAAUUUUGAUUAUUUCACUUUUUGAAAGUUUGAUUUUUUAAAUUUUUGAUUAAAAUAUCAAAAUAGAAAAGGGGCAAAAAGAGGGGUACCUGUAAA